AUGGCCGAAUAUAGCAAGGAUAAACCAUGGCUAGGGUUUUUCAAGCUUCCAAGCUCGAUUUUUUGACAAGCCAGCUCGGAAAUCGGGAACGGUCGGAGGCUCGCUCACACUAUCCGUAUACCAUCUUGGCAUAAUGGCUUGUAUAUUUUGAGUGUGGCAUGUAUAGCAUUAUAAUCAUUUUGUAUAUAUGGUCUUAUGAUAUGGUUAUUGAGUGGUAUGGAAA